CGAUAGCAACAGCGUAUAGCACAUUGCUUCCGAUUUUGAUUCCGUAUUCAUUUCAAACUUAAAUAAUAAUGUCCAAAUAUAUAAGACUGGUUUUUAAAGAACGACAGCGCAUCUGAGAAAGCCCUUUGAGGCCGUUCUAUCCCAGAUUCUCACCUGAUCAUCCUCGUCCUCAUCUUCAACGUUGCUUUCAGUCGCCUCACGAUGCGGACUCUUCACGGACUUGGACGGAGAUUCCUUUUCCCGGGCGAGCUUCGUACUGUGCCGUACAUCCUUGGCCACCGCAAUCUUCUCCUCGGGGGACGAUGAAGGAGACCCCUUGGGAGAAUCCGGGGGGCAGGGGGAGCGCGUGGUGAUCGUCGCGGGCGAGCGAUCAUCCUGGAUUUCAUCUUCGCCGAACGCCAUGGCACAACGGGCGGUCGUUCGGUAUCGAUGAAUAUCACAACAAUCACAGGAAUACACCUGUGCCUAAUUAGUAAAGUGAUUUAUAAGGAAAUCAAACUUAGGAAGGAGAUAAACAAAAAGAUGGGAACAAAUAAAGCGGAGCCAUGUAGAAAAUACGCUGAUAACGGGGUCGCCCAAAUUUUUUGACUCACGAACCGACGGAAAUGAGUGGGUGCAAUGGUGAGCUGUUCGGUAUCACAUGCUCGAUGUUGUGGUGAGCUGGCUUGAUCACGCGCGCGCCUGAUCUUGAAUUCUCGAUUCAGAAAUCAGAAACCAGCAGGACCGCUGCUCCAGGGCGAUCGAGCAGAACAGGAUAUUUACGUUGCGAAAGAGACAUAUAAAUAAGCGUAAAUUCUGUACUCCGUGCUCGCACUCGUUUUCUUUGUAACACCAAACUACUCUAAUUGAUAAUUCAUUCGUGCAAAAUUUUACUAUUUUGCACUUAUGACUGUAAGCUGCAUACAUGCACAAGGCAGCAUACUGGCCCAGACGUAGAGUAUUCUGUCAUCAGUAAACUGCGAGUCUCUAUGGCAAACGCCCCUGGUAGUCAGUACUCGCCUAAACGGCACAUUAAUUCUAUCUAACACGUGAAUGAUUAUGUAAAGGCCUUGUUCAUUACUUUACGCGGCAAACACGCCGCGCAUGCAAAUAAUUAUUUGUAUUAAUUUUACACGCCUGCAAUUGAUUCGAUCAAGUACGGUACAUUGUACGUAUCCCCAAAGUGUUUAUUCAUGCAUACUUCUACAGUCUACUGCACUGGUAUACCGGUAUACUGUACGUAUGUAACUCGUAACACGGUAACGAGUAUUGUGCUUUCUUGACAGCGAUUUUGAAUCAUUAGUACAGUAAUGAUUGCUGCAGUUUGCUUUGAGCCUGAUAAUUCCUUCGAUACGUCACUGAAAUUUUGAAUUAAACUGCUGGGAACAAAUGGCAAAUUUAUGUUCUGUAAUUAAUCGUAUGAAGUAUUGUCGCUGGGUUACAUGUAUUGUACCGGUGCCGGCGGUACAUGUGACUCUGAUGUGAGGAAACAACAAUGAUUAAUAUUCUUGUAAUAUGUAUUGUAUAUUAGUUGAUAAUACGUAAUAUGACGCCGAUAAUUCUUGUUUGUUUUAUCAACUCAUUAUUUUUUCAUACCAACUGGUGAUAAAAUUAGACAAUAAAUCAGUGGUCAGUUAGACGUUCAGAAUGCACCGUGAUCCCCGCAUGCACUCGCCGCCUCCGGCAAUGACUUAACACCGCAAACAGCACCAGCACCAAACUUAAAAUCAACACCACCACCACCAUCACGGUGGCCAUCGUCACCGUCUUCUGUAGGAAACAGUAUUUGACUUCCUGCUGCACUUCCGCCCCGGUGUCCGGCGCGGUUUCGUUGACCUGCGUCACAUUAUCGAAAUACGUCGUCUCCAUGGAGAGAUUAAAGGGGAGCAUGAGAUUCUGCAGCAUCCGGUCACGGCUGCUCGAUAUGGCGAUCUGCAACGAUUGUCCCAUGUGAUUAAGACAAAGGAUUGCAAAGGUCACGGGGACUGACUGCUUACCGCACCCGUGAAUGGCGGGAUGCCCAUGUGGCCGUUGUGGGCGCGCAGGGAGGGCGGGGCGGUGACGUUGGGUUGGGGACGGUACUGCGUGAUGUUGGUGAAGGUCUCCAGGCGGAACUGGAACUGCGGCACGUCGACAGUUUCCGUGAAGCACGUCUAGUUAAUAAUAGAAUUCUUGUGAAGUUAUUGAAUAGAAUUCUUGUGAAGUUAUUGUACAUAUUUUUUAACCCACUAACUGCGUUAUCCCAAACAGACAAACACCUACAUAUAGAUUAAGAAUAUUUGGUUGAAAAGUUUCAACAGUUGCUUUGUUUUAACAAAGUAGAUGCGUAAAUUCAAAAUCCAGAUAUAUAAAAAAAUGUGAAACACGUGAUUAUAAAAUUAACGACUGCAGUUAAAGUAAGUAUUAAAAAUGACCGCCGUAGCAUGCUCAUGAAGUAGCAGGAUAAAUUCAAAAAUCACCAGCAAAUUACGUACAUAGCUGGGGCGUUCUGACUGUGUAUCAUGCAUCCCAUGCAGCAUAAGUAUAUAAUUACAGAGUCUGGAUAUUUUCUCCGAUGUCGACGAAACGAAGUGGGCAUCCAGCCAUGCAUUAUUCUACGAUAGUUUGCUGAUGUCUUAUGUACUGCUUUGAUUUUAGUGCGACAAUUCUAUUGCUUGCUGAUUUCUGAAUCCAAUAGGAUCGCGCAUUGGCGGCACUGCACAGAUUGAUGGAGCAGCGUGCGUUCAGUCGUAGACUUCCGGUGAAGCUGGGAGCGGCAAAUCGGGUGAAGUACAUCCGCUGUUCAGUCGUACCGGCUGGCCGGGUCGGCAUAAACCAUUGCGCAUGCUCCGAUUGACAUCUGCAGCAGUCACGAUAUUUGCUGAAUAAUGGAUUCACGAACGAGGAUCCCGGCGCGACUCGCACCGUGAAUGAAUUCUCCAAUGCCGGCUGAGGCGUCCUUCCGGAAACUACCGCUGACCAUCGAUCUACAUAAAACAAGUUGAUCUGGCACAACACACUGUUGAUUGGCCGAAGCACAGUAAACGGACCUGCAAGCAAAAAUCACUAACUAGAUAGUAAGUGCUUACGAUUCACGAUGUGCGAGUUUUACAAGAAAACAUCUACGUACGAUAUCAUCUAAACAUUGUAAGUAUAGUCUAUAGAUAUACUGAAACGAUUAUUCGUACAUUACGUGACUUUUUACGUCCAAUCGAAAGAAAUAUCGAUAUAAAAAAAAUAUAAUAUCUACUGGGUACGGUAUUAGAGGCUUUGAGCAGAAAACACCAUAACCAUACCUUAACCAUCCCUUAUCGUGUACGCGUUCUUCCCUCGUAUGGGAACAAUGCCCUCAUUGGCUGUGAUAAUUUAACAUCACAACCAAUAGAAAUUGUGAAAUACCGGAUUACACGGCUCGAUUAUACUAAAAUAUUUAGUAGCGCCUAAUUAGUAGCACCUAAAUUCAUAUCGCGUUGCUAUUAAAAAAUUUAGUAGCACCUAGAUAUACUAGUAAUUUGCAUUGCACUGCAAUAAAAUAUUACUAGCACCUACUUAGUAGCACCUAGACAUGACCUACAUCGCAUUACUAUAAAAUAUCAGAACACCAAAUUAGUAGCACCUAGAACUUACACGUGGCUAGAAAUAUUUGUAGCACCUAAUCAGUAGCACUACAUAUAUUGCACGUGCAUUGGAAUUUGCAAUAAAAUAUUAAUAACGUCUAAUUAGUAGCACCUAGACAAAAUUCGCAUUGCAAACGCGAAUUUAUUAAAGUAUUUAGUAGCACCUAAUUGGUAGCGCCUAGACGGUAAUGUGAUGGUUGCAAACGCGAAUUCAUUAAAGUAUUUAGUAGCACCUAAUUAGUAGCGCCUAGACGGUAGUGUAAUGAGCCCAUUUCGCAAUUUCUAUUGGUUGUGAUCACAGCCAAUGAACGCAUUGUUCCCAUACGAGGGAAGAACGCGUCUUAUACGCGUCUUAUCGUGUAGUUGGACGACCGCCAUCGAGGUAGCAGUGUACAAAGUACUCAGCGAAGGCGCAUAGCUGACUCUGGGUCCCUUCAGAUUUAAUUUGUUUUCUCGCACUGCGUGAAACGAUCUCUUUCCAAAAAAUUACAUUUACAUUCAAAAUUGUUUUCUCUAUUCAAAAAAGUGUAUAUCUGGGGGAGUUAAAUUGGGCAGGUGUUAAGGGGAGCCUUUGAAAGUCCAUCACCAUACGACACGUUUGUAUGGUAUUCACACUUACCAUACGCUCGCACUUAACCAUAUAGUAUGGUUAAGUGUAUGGCUAUGGUUAAGUGGAGCAGUUGCUCAAAGCUUCUUAUUUCGGUAUAUACCGUAUAUACAGUGUAGAUGUCACUCAUGUCAAUAUAUCUAUACAUAUUUUGCACCGAGCGCGAAGCGCGAGGUGCUGCAAUUAACUGAUCGUCAAGAGCAUAAAUUUGUCUGACGCCACGAAGAGUGUACGUAACACUUUUCCAAUUCCACAAUCCCAAUACCAUUUCCCAGUGGUAUUAGCGCUCGCGCUCGUGCAAUAAUGUGGUUAACAACCACCGCUAGUUAUAUCUAUAUACAUUUGAAAUUUUGCCAACGCCAUUAUUGGUACUCGAGGAACUUUAUUAACAUCGUUACUUAUUCCUACAGUCCUACUCUACUUGCUGGUUCGACUUCUGCAAACUAUGUCGUUCGUAUGCCUUCAAUAUUAAGAUGCGAAAGGUUUUGUAGUAUAGUGGCACAAGACGGGCUACCAGGCUAGCCAUAUGACAGGUUGUGAUAAUAUUAUUGUGUUGUUAGGCGCCACCCAUAAAUUACGUCACGCAAAAAAUUGGACAUUUUGAUACCCCCCUCCCCCUGUGUCACCAAUGCUAACAAACUGAGAUCCCCUCCCCUGAGCGUUACGUAACAAAAUGAGAACCCAUCCAUCGAUAUAGCAUGUUGACGUCAUCAUCGUAACAAAUUUUUAAAGCCCCCCUCCCCCUCGUAACAAACAGUAACGCUUUCAGGACCUCCCCCCUGCCCCUACUUGCGUGACGUAAUUUAUGGAUGGCGCCUUACUGUUGUACAGCCAAUACAAACAUUAAUUUUAAUACGUUGUUGAUACCGGUAGUUCUGAAAUAAUUUUAGAAUUUCGUUACCU